AGCGAACGCUGGCGGCAGGCUUAACACAUGCAAGUCGAACGGGCAUCUUCGGAUGUCAGUGGCAGGCGGGUGAGUAACACGUGGGAACGUACCCUUCGGUUCGGAAUAACUCAGGGAAACUUGAGCUAAUACCGGAUACGCCCUUUUGGGGAAAGGUUUACUGCCGAAGGAUCGGCCCGCGUCUGAUUAGCUUGUUGGUGGGGUAACGGCCUACCAAGGCGACGAUCAGUAGCUGGUCUGAGAGGAUGAUCAGCCACACUGGGACUGAGACACGGCCCAGACUCCUACGGGAGGCAGCAGUGGGGAAUAUUGGACAAUGGGCGCAAGCCUGAUCCAGCCAUGCCGCGUGAGUGAUGAAGGCCUUAGGGUUGUAAAGCUCUUUUGUCCGGGACGAUAAUGACGGUACCGGAAGAAUAAGCCCCGGCUAACUUCGUG
rnacentral:rRNA from 1 species